rnacentral:rRNA from 1 species
GUGAGGAAUUUUCCGCAAUGGGCGAAAGCCUGACGGAGCAAUGCCGCGUGAAGGAUGAAGGCCUAUGGGUUGUAAACUUCUUUUCUCAGAAAAGAAUUAUGACGGUAUCUGAGGAAUAAGCAUCGGCUAACUCUGUGCCAGCAGCCGCGGUGAGACAGAGGAUGCAAGCGUUAUCCGGAAUGAUUGGGCGUAAAGCGUCUGUAGGUUGUUUAAAAAGUAUUCUGUCAAAGAUUAGGGCUUAACCCUAGAUAGGCAGAAUAAACUUUUAAGCUAGAGUUUGGUAGAGGCAGAGGGAAUUCCCGGUGGAGCGGUGAAAUGCGUAGAUAUCGGGAGGAACACCAAAGGCGAAGGCACUCUGCUGGGCCAAUACUAACACUGAGAGACGAAAGCGAGGGGAGCAAAUGGGAUUAGAAACCCGAGUAGUCC